UAGUAAUGGCAGGUCAGCAUACUGCCGUGAAUACGUUCCCGGGCCUUGUACACACCGCCCGUCACACCAUGAGAGUUGGGGAUACCCGAAGCCUGUGAGCCAACUAUAUAGAGGCAGCAGUCGAAGGUAGAAUCAAUGAUUGGGGUGAAGUCGUAACAAGGUACC
rnacentral:rRNA from 1 species